AACGUAGGACACAAGCGUUAUCCGGAGUUACUGGGCGUAAAGGGCGUGUAGGCGGACGUGUAAGUCUAUUCUGAAAGCUCCUGGCUAAACUGGGAGGGGCGAAUGGAGACUGCAUAUCUAGAGUGAGGAAGAGGAAAGUGGAAUUCCGCGUGUAGUGGUGAAAUGCGUAGAGAUCGGAAAGAACACCAACGGCGAAAGCACUCUGCUGGGCCGACACUGACACUGAGAGACGAAAGCUAGGGGAGCGAAUGGG
rnacentral:rRNA from 1 species